UGACAGUGACAAAAAGGAAGCAGCCUUCUCUAGCCCACCCAAGUUUCCAUCAAAGGAGCAAGCCUAUGUCAGUAAGAAGAAAGCUGGCUAACCCUCCCACCCCUUGUUUAACUCCUCCAGCCCAUCCCACAUCAUUGUAGAGUGAAGAGACUGCUGUUAAUAUUCAGAAAGAGGCGCAGAGAACUGAAGGCUUUCCUGACUUGACACCGAAUAAUAACGAAGGCCUGUGUGCUUUGCAGCAGCCUCCACGUCACCCUCUUCCAGGGCUCCGUCAGAGGACUAACGAUAUGCCACAAGAUGAUUGGCAGCAAGACACACCCAGUGAUGAAGGGAUGUGCUCUCCUUAAAUCACAGCCUAUUCAUCAGGUACUCCUGAGUGCUGUGUUAAGAAAUCCUGCCUACAAAGUUCCACUGAGGCUGAUAUAAAGAUGACUGUGAGAAACUGGCUGCGGCUGUCUGAGCAGAGACAGGAAUGGGGGCAGCAAAGGCGGGACAAGCAAGCAUCUUAAGUGAAAUAAUUGAUUGGACUGAUUCUGGAGUAUGACUUAUUCUGGAGGGAAUUUCUUAUUUUUGUUGCAGUUUGCUAUGGGACGGUUUCAAGGACAGGGAUUAGACUAGUUCUAGACUAAAAUAAAUGUAAGAGCUGUCCAAACUUAAAACAACUUGCACUGACAUAUCAUAAAAUACAUCAGUGUCUUUUGUGAUGCUUCAAAAUGCACACAAGUAAUGUUUUUAUUAAGACAUGUUAUUAAAACUAGUUAUAUUUCAGAAUUAAACUAAGGCCUAGUCCCGGUUUAAGAUAAUCCCUGUCCGGGAAACCACCCCAAAGUGUAAUUUGUGGAGUGUUAAAAUAAAUGAAACUGCCUUUGCAAAAACAAAGUAAAAAAAAAAUUCCAGAUG